CUUAAUGUUACAAUCAACGAGAGUUAUAGCACAAUUUUCUUUUCAUUGAACUGCAAAAAUCGAUAAUAGCGUGCAGUUAGAGUGGACCAUAUGAUUGAUGUCAAGAGAGUUGAAAAAAUAUGUAUUGGUUAGAAUCCAAUAAAUAAAAUAGUUUAUCAUCAAAAUGUGAUACGUUUCCAAAUCGUAUGAUUCCCUAACGCAUUUUCUGAUGAUUAUUGAUCAAGAAAGCACGUGAAAUUUCAUUUUGUUAUGGUCAAUAUCGUGUUUUACAGAUCAUCUUGUUGAAGCAUAUUAUUACAUUUCGCGUGCAGACAGAGUGGACUAUGUGUCUCUAAGAAAAAUAGUUGAAAUUACCUUAUUCUUCGUAAUCCUUUCCAAAUCAAAAUAUGUUUGUUUAGUAGCUGUUGGGAAUCAUACAGUAAAACCUCCAUGAGUCGAUAUUGAGGGGACUAUCGAUUCAAGGAAAUAUCGAGUAGUGGAACAAAAAUCCUUUGGGAAGCUUUUUGGGGGGACCAUCAUAGUAACCCAGAAAUUAUUUUUCAGUAUGGAAAAAUUUACCUCCAUGAGUCGAUAUCGAGUCAAGGAACAUCGACUCAUGGAGGUUCGACUGUAUUGAAAUGUACCAAUUCCCGUUUCAUGAAGAAAUUGAUUUUACCGAUUAUUUAAGAAUUGUGUACUUGGUUCACUCUGUCUGAACGAAUUUUUGGAAAAUGCCAGUACUCUGAAUAAAUUAUUAUGAACUGUGUAUCUACAAUAUUUCAAAAACGUACCGAACUAUAGAAAUACAUUCAAAAGUUGUUAGUUAUUAAAUGUUCAAGUUAAGAAUUCUUAAAUAGCUCAUUAAUUGACUACCCUUCAUGUGAUUUUGAACUGUUGUACUGUUGUACUUGUAAUAAUGUUGUAAUAACAGAAGUAUCAAAUUUCAAACUUCCGACUCACAUUAUAAACCACUCCUAUUAACUGUUGUCCUACUUGUUCAUUAUUUUUUCAUCAAAUAUGCAAAAACUUGAGUGUGAACUGUAGUUGGUUGAAGAUUUUCCAAAAACCGUUCAGUCAAAGUGGACUAAGUACAAUCAAUUACUUAGCAAUUUCUCGGUUUCAAGCUUUAUUUUACGUUUUUUCGCGAUCAAUACAGAGCGAUGCUGUGAUGAAUAGUUUUUGAGAUUUAUGGUAAAAAUUCAAGAACAUUUGUUGAAAAACUCAAAACUUAUAGAGUUGCAAAACUAGUAUUCAGUGUCUAGACGCCAUGAUAGUGUUCGGCGCAGUGGUAAAACAAAUUAUUGUAAACUACACCCUCACCAUCUACCCACAAAUAGCCAACACAAGCUUAAAUUCACCAAACCCGACAGCCCUACGCCAAGCAACCGGCGAUACAAACGUAGCGGUAUCCCUAUAACCUCCCUGAAGAAGACCCAAACCAAGGGUCGAAACGUCGGAUGAAAUAGUAUCACCCCGCUUAUAAUUUAUCCGGACCGAAAAGCCAACCAUAGAGGGAUAACUCUGCAAACUUUAA